UACAGAGGCCUCGAGCGUUAAUCGGAAUUACUGGGCGUAAAGCGUGCGUAGGCGGUUGUGUAAGUCAGAUGUGAAAUCCCCGGGCUCAACCUGGGAACUGCAUUUGAGACUGCACAGCUGGAGUGCGGGAGAGGGGGAUGGAAUUCCGCGUGUAGCAGUGAAAUGCGUAGAUAUGCGGAGGAACACCGAUGGCGAAGGCAAUCCCCUGGGCCUGCACUGACGCUCAUGCACGAAAGCGUGGGGAGCAAACAGG
rnacentral:rRNA from 1 species